AGUGAACGCUGGCGGCGUGCUUAACACAUGCAAGUCGAACGGUAACAGGAACUAGCUUGCUAGUUUGCUGACGAGUGGCGCACGGGUGAGUAAUAUAUAGUUAAUGUACCCCAAAGACUGGGAUAGCCACUGGAAACGGUGAUUAAUACUAGAUACACCUCUUUAACAUAAGUUAGAGAGGGAAAUGUCUUUUCGCUUUGGGAUCAGACUAUAUCCUAUCAGUUAGUUGGUGAGGUAAUGGCUCACCAAGGCAAUGACGGGUAGCGGGUUUGAGAGGAUGAUCCGCCACACUGGUACUGAGACACGGACCAGACUCCUACGGGAGGCAGCAGUGAGGAAUAUUGCACAAUGGAGGAAACUCUGAUGCAGCAACGCCGCGUGGAGGAUGACGCAUUUCGGUGUGUAAACUCCUUUUAUAUGUCAAGAAAAUGACGGUAGCAUAUGAAUAAGCACCGGCUAACUCCGUGCCAGCAGCCGCGGUAA
rnacentral:rRNA from 1 species